ACAUUGACCAGGCUGGGGAGAUCCCUUCAUCAUAAAGGUCUCCCAGGCUGAUGCUGACCCAUUGCACUUUGGAUGUGCUGAUCCCUGCAAUUUCCCCAGAUGUGAGAAAUUCAGCUGCAUGAUUUGUGAUAGUGGGGACUGUGUGCGAAUUUUCUCCUG